rnacentral:rRNA from 1 species
CCUACGGGAGGCAACAGUGAGGAAUAUUGGUCAAUGGACGAGAGUCUGAACCAGCCAAGUAGCGUGAAGGAUGACUGCCCUAUGGGUUGUAAACUUCUUUUAUCAAGGAAUAAAACGAGGCACGUGUGCCUUUUUGCAUGUACUUUAUGAAUAAGGAUCGGCUAACUCCGUGCCAGCCGCCGCGGUAAUACGGAGGAUCCGAGCGUUAUCCGGAUUUAUUGGGUUUAAAGGGAGCGUAGAUGGGUUGUUAAGUCAGUUGUGAAAGUUUGCGGCUCAACCGGAAAAUUGCAAUUGAUACUGGCAGUCUUGAGUACAGGUGAGGUAGGCGGAAUUCGUGGUGUAGCGGUGAAAUGCUUAGAUAUCACGAAGAACCCCGAUUGCGAAGGCAGCUUACUAAACUGUGACUGACAUUGAUGCUCGAAAGUGUGGGUAUCAAACAGGAUUAGAUACCCCGGUAGUC